rnacentral:rRNA from 1 species
CCUGAGAAACCCAAAAGAUCGAAUGAGGAGACUCAUCGUCAGCGAUCCGGGUACGCGUGCGGCUCGCGAUGCUGGGAGGCCUCGGCCUCGCGGCACGCGUCCGUAUCGUAAUUAUUGCCUGGUGUCGUCGGCGUGCACUUCUCCUCUAGUAGGACGUCGCGACCCGUUGGGUGUCGGUCUACGGUCCGGGCGGAAGUCCGUCAUGCGUUACGCUUCACGGCGUUGCGUGGCAGGCCCCCGGUUGCCCGACCGACUGCCCGGCGGUACUCGCACGGUAUUGGGCCGCAAAUCUUUUCGAAAUGCGUCUUGGCCCGUCGCAAGCGAGGCUAGUUGCUUCCCGGAUGCACGGACCUAGUGCCGUCACCGGGCCUGGCCAGCUGUUGGUUGACGGUGUCAUGGGACUGGCUCUAUUAUGAUAUACCGGUCGGCGACGCUACUGCUUUGGGUACUUUCAGGACCCGUCUUGAAACACGGACCAAGGAGUCUAACAUGUGCGCGAGUCAUUGGGAUUUAUUAAACCUAAAGGCGCAAUGAAAGUGAAGGUCAGUCUUGCACCGACCGAGGGAGGAUGGGCCGCGUCACGAUGCGGUCCCGCACUCCCGGGGCGUCUCGAUCUCAUUGCGAGAAGAGGCGCACCCAGAGCGUACACGUUGGGACCCGAAAGAUGGA